UCCGGUUGAGCGAUGUUUCUCGAGUCGCUGAGUGAACUCAACGGGUGAGGUGGAGACUUUACGAAUGGCGGAGGCGAGGGCGCGGGUGGAAGUGAGGGUGAGAGUGGUGAAGUUGUUGCGGGGGUCGUCAUCGGAAUCGGAGUUAGGGUUGGCGUUGAUGGUUUGGAGGAAACAAGAGGGGUGGCGAGGGUGACGGUGGGGUUUGAAGGUGAAAGUGAGUGGGAUAGUGUGAGUGUGAGUGUGAGUGUUGAUUGAAGAGAGUAGAAGCACCAUUUGGCUACACCAUAUGAACGAAUAUUCAAUACAACCAACUACUAACAGAGUGAUUAGUUAGUUAUGUAAUAUACUAUCGCCCGACAACUGCGGAGAAAUAAAGAAAAUAUAUAAAACAACCACACAAAUAAUGACAAACUUAUCUUAUCCAUCUAAUCUAAUUUAAUGUUAUUAAAUUAUUAUUAUUUAAAAAAUACGGAAGUUCUUGACCAUUUUGCUGUUUCUCUUUUGAAAAAUUGUUACUUUUAGACAUUAUACAAAUUUGUGAUAUCUUCGGAAUGAGAAAGAAAUAGAGAUACUAUAAUAUAAUAGAUGUAAAAUAUUGAUGGUAUCAAAAAUUUAAAAAUUAAAUGAAUGUAAAAAAAAAAUUAUAUAUAUAUAUAUAUAUAUAUAGUGGAGACUUUACGAAUGGCGGAGGCGAGGGCGCGGGUGGAAGUGAGGGUGAGAGUGGUGAAGUUGUUGCGGGGGUCGUCAUCGGAAUCGGAGUUAGGGUUGGCGUUGAUGGUUUGGAGGAAACAAGAGGGGUGGCGAGGGUGACGGUGGGGUUUGAAGGUGAAAGUGAGUGGGAUAGUGUGAGUGUGAGUGUGAGUGUUGAUUGAAGAGAGUAGAAGCACCAUUUGGCUACACCAUAUGAACGAAUAUUCAAUACAACCAACUACUAACAGAGUGAUUAGUUAGUUAUGUAAUAUACUAUCGCCCG
rnacentral:lncRNA from 1 species